UAGCAAAUUGUUAGAAUUGCUCGGAACAUUCAAGAGUAAAGAUCCCACUGAGGCUACAACGCCCAGUCCUUACAUGGAGGAAAAGAACAA
rnacentral:misc_RNA from 1 species